rnacentral:lncRNA from 1 species
AUCAAAAGUGUCGUUUACUAAGAAAAAUGGCGUCAUUUAGAUAUAUUAAAAGUGUUAUUUGUAAUAUAAAUAUAGUAUCAUUUAUUAAUAUCGAUGGUGUCAUUUAUCAAAAAAAAAUUGUCAUUUACAAAGAGAAAUAGUAUUAUUUAUCACAAAGAAGAAAAAAUUAAAAUAAAAAAUAUAAUUAAAAAGAAGAAAAAAAAGGAAAAAAAAGAAGAAAGUGAAAAAGAAAUGGAAAAAAUAGAAGGAAAAGUAUUUUGUUAGAAGAAAAAGGGAAAAAUCUAAAAGAAUUUUUUUAAAAAAAAGAAAAANAGGAGAGAAACGAAAAAGAACACUUAAAAAUGAAAGAAAGUAAAUGCUGGAAACUUGCCAAAAAACCUCGCCCAUGAAAGGAUUCAAACCCACGACCAUCGCUAGGGAGGCACGGGUUCUACCCAACUACGCCAG